GAUGAACGCUGGCGGCGUGCCUAAUACAUGCAAGUAGAACGCUGAAGGAGGAGCUUGCUCUUCUGGAUGAGUUGCGAACGGGUGAGUAACGCGUAGGUAACCUGCCUGGUAGCGGGGGAUAACUAUUGGAAACGAUAGCUAAUACCGCAUGACAACAGUUAUUGCAUGAUAACUGUUUAAAAGGGGCAACUGCUCCACUACCAGAUGGACCUGCGUUGUAUUAGCUAGUUGGUGAGGUAACGGCUCACCAAGGCGACGAUACAUAGCCGACCUGAGAGGGUGAUCGGCCACAAUGGGAAUGAGACACGGCCCAGACUCCUACGGGAGGCAGCAGUAGGGAAUCUUCGGCAAUGGACGGAAGUCUGACCGAGCAACGCCGCGUGAGUGAAGAAGGUUUUCGGAUCGUAAAGCUCUGUUGUAAGAGAAGAACGAGUGUGAGAGUGGAAAGUUCACACUGUGACGGUAUCUUACCAGAAAGGGACGGCUAACUACGUG
rnacentral:rRNA from 1 species